rnacentral:tRNA from 1 species
GGGGCUAUGGCUCACUGGUAGAGCAUCUGUUUUGCCUGCAGAAGGUGCCAGGUUCGAGCCCUGACAUCUCCA